rnacentral:lncRNA from 8 species
AUGGUGACCUCAAACUUGCACACAACACGCACGCAUGCACAACACACACACACACACACACACACACAUGUACCAUGUACACAAACUAACAUCAACCUGUGUGUGUGUGCACGUGUGUGUGUGUCAGCUGUCACUCAGGCUUCAGCGGGCCCCAUUGUGACACUAAGGAGUUCAAUGUGCUCUACGUGGUCCCCGGCUCUGGCAAGCUGCGCUACGUCCUCAUCGCCUCCAUCAUCGGAGCGCUGCAGGUGGCCAUCAUCUUUGUGGUGGUGCUCUGUAUUACCAGGAAGUGCCCGCGGAGCAACAGGGUCAAUCGGCAGAAGCAGAACGCCACCCACUACAGCUCAGAGAACACCAUGCGCGCCUCCACCCGCCUCAUCUGACUGAGCCUCCCCACAAUGGGGGAAACCCUAAGACCCGCUCCGCUCUGUGUUCAAAUUGCACCAUAGACACAGAUCUAGGAUCAGCUUUACCCUUCUUUCCUACAAUCCCAACCUGAAUUAACUGUAAGGGAGUGGGUGGUGGGAGGGGGACAAAACACAAAACUGACCUUAGAUCGGCAUCUAGGAGCAACUUAAUCCUACUCCACUAGAGACCAGCGGAGGAGGUCGCACAAUCCCCAACUCGCCGACCCCGAUCAUGAGGAAUUGAACAAUGGGGAUUGGGGGGGAAACAAUGGGGGGGAGGGGGGGCUAUAGAUGUGGGCUAGCUGAUGUUCGUGGGGGAAUGUUGGUUGUUUUUAGGGGUAGAACCAAUAGGGGUUUGGGGGCGGGAGGGGGUCUACACGUGAUGCCUUGCACCUGUGGUAUAGGUCACUAAGAGGAAUCUAUGGUACUACAGUACGGCUCUGUUUGGUUAUGUAUUACUGGGUCUAUUUCCAAUAGUUAUUACAUUGUCUUGGUGGGGUCUUUUUUCUGUAAUGUAAAUAAAUAAUUUAUAUCAUGAAAAGUGACCUUGGCCAAUCUACAAUAUUGCUGUCGAGUGUCGAUUCUCACAUUUAUGGUUAAGAUAACGUCAUUCUCAAGAGGAAACAAUUCUUAAAAGGAAAGAGACAACAGGUACAUUUGUCUGAGAUGAAAGGUGUAUUUUCAGGACUUUACUUUUGGAUCUAUCAUCAAUUCAGGGCCUAGUGGGCCGCAGGUGAGUGAACUUCCCAGCAAUCAGUGAAAUUAGUUGAUCAAUUAACUAUCAGAUAGAAGAAGAAAAAAACCUGAGCUUCAACGUUGUGGAACAAUGAAGAUAGAAAUGUCAUGACAUUUGUCUUACAGUUGAUACAUGAUGACUCUUUAUUCUAAAUGUCAGAGAAGCAUGUUUGUUCUACAUAAGAUAUUUCUAUCUGAACUUUCCACAACUUUGGACCUUGAAGGCCAUAAUUGAUGGUGAGGAGCUGUCUUGACACAAGGAUGUGCUAUUUUACCAUAUGCCUACCCCACUACAAGAAAACUGAGUUACAGUAACUGAGUUACAGUAUUAGUACCUUGCCAAUUAUGUGCUAUUGGCAGGUGAUGUUUUUUCUACACACACACACACACGUGCGCGCACAGGCACAGGAACAGGUACACAUUCGCGGGUGCACGUAUGCACACACAUACAGACUUAUUUAACCUUGUGGGAGUACACAAGUCAUUAUAAAAUCAUAUCCUAAACCUAACCCUUACCUAACCUUAACCCGAAAACCUUACUUAACCCUAACUUAUAACACAAACCUUUAACCCCUAACCCUGACACUAAUUCUAACCUUAACCCUAAACUCCCUUUUUUUGGUUUAGGGUCCCCACAAGUAUAGUUAAACACGUCCACAAUACAGGAGAUUGGUGGCACCUAAAUUGGGGAGGACGGGCUCAUGGUAAUGGCUGGAGCGGAAUCAGUGGAAUGGUAUCAAAUACAUCAAACACAUGGUUUAUGCCAUUCCAUUCGUGCCAUUCCAGACAUUUUUAUGAGCCGUCCUCAUCUCAGCAGCCUUCACUGGUACACACACACACACACACACACAAAUUAUAUACACAUGUCCAGCUGACAGAUUUAAAAUACCAUACAGGUAAGUUGAAAAGUCUUUCAUUU